AAUAAAAUAUUGAAAUUUGAAACUUCCACAUCAUUGCAUUAUGUUUUUAUUCACAAUUUGUACAGUGUCCCAACUUUUUUGGAAUCGGGUUUGUCUUCUUUUUUUUUUAUUCAGCAGUUAAUAAAGAAAUGUGUUGUUCGUAUGUUUCAUGAAUAUGGCUCUGUAGUGGACACCUGUGAGGCAGAUGUCUGAUGCUGACUAACAAAAAAAAAAAAAAAAAAAAUCCUCUCUGGACCUACCCCAUCUUUUGAAGGUGUGUAAAUAAGUGAACAAUUGCAGAGACACACCAGAAACCCUUCUUAAAAAUUCAAUUAUAUAUAGUUUAUUAACAGUUGUUGUUUUUUUUUCUUUUAAUAUCUUCUGAGAAAUCCUAGCAUUGCCCUGCCUGUUACGUGAUGAUCCUGCUGUCUGUAUAUGAUAAAUGAGGUAAAUCCCUAAAUAAAUGAACAGACUACACAGAAUCUCAGAACAGUUGUGGUUAUAACAGGAGACCCAUUUGGUGAGAGCAGCACUGCAGACUUUCCUGAUGGAGGAGAUCAUGGACCAUUUUCACAAGACUGAAGAUGUGUUUCAGUGGCCAUCAGCAUCGUAAAUCCUCACAAUUUUUGUAUAUUUUGACUUUAAA